AGUUCGGCUAAUAGUCAGUUUUGCUCUUUUGUGUCGGCUUUUGCCGACUGAUCCUCGGAUCUCCCUCUUCCGAGCUUUCUUCGUCCUCCGACCCCACCCUAAAGCCCGAGGGUGGUGGUACUUCAAUCCUCGGAAGGGGCUCUCUUUCAUUACUGGUCUUCCGUCGUCUAUUCAUGGAUGGAAGAACCAGUUCUUCUUCGCAUCCUCUUCCACUCCUUGGGGGUUCCCUGUCCGUUGGGGGAAUCCCC
rnacentral:lncRNA from 1 species